rnacentral:lncRNA from 1 species
CACAACAUUGUCAUGUAAAUAUAUCACCAUUUUACCAUGAUAAUAGCAUUACAGUAAUGGAAGCAGCAUCAAUGUGCUUCAACAGCUCCUCCGGUCGAAACCAUGGGCUUAGUUUUAUCAGCGCUAAAUGCCUUUGCGAUCUUUUCGGUUGGGACCAACGGAAGAUAUGAUGCAACUUUGUGCCCUUUCUCAGCCGAAAGUUGAAUAGUCUGGUUGUACUUCUCGGUAUAAUAACUGGCCGUUGGAACGACGACUUGAGCCACUUGAGGGAAGAGCGGGAGCUGAUUGAGAGAUCUCCAGGUCGACACAGCAAAAUGUUCAGCUACCGGUUCGUACUUGGAAUACAGAUCCUUGGCAGCAGGUUCGUAUUUGGCGUAAAAGGUUUUCGCAAGACCUGAGGCAGUUUCAACAACUCCAGCAGUUUUGACUUCUGUCACGACGGAGCGAGC